UUAACCGAAUAGGGGAGCCGGAGGGAAACCGAGUCUUAAUUGGGCGUUAAGUUGCAGGGUAUAGACCCGAAACCCGGUGAUCUAGCCAUGGGCAGGUUGAAGGUUGGGUAACACUAACUGGAGGACCGAACCGACUAAUGUUGAAAAAUUAGCGGAUGACCUGUGGCUGGGGGUGAAAGGCCAAUCAAACCGGGAGAUAGCUGGUUCUCCCCGAAAGCUAUUUAGGUAGCGCCUCGUGAAUUCAUCUCCGGGGGUAGAGCACUGUUUCGGCUAGGGGGCCAUCCCGGCUUACCAACCCGAUGCAAACUGCGAAUACCGGAGAAUGUUAUCACGGGAGACACACGGCGGGUGCUAACGUCCGUCGUGAAGAGGGAAACAACCCAGACCGCCAGCUAAGGUCCCAAAGUCAUGGUUAAGUGGGAAACGAUGUGGGAAGGCCCAGACAGCCAGGAUGUUGGCUUAGAAGCAGCCAUCAUUUAAAGAAAGCGUAAUAGCUCACUGGUCGAGUCGGCCUGCGCGGAAGAUGUAACGGGGCUAAACCAUGCACCGAAGCUGCGGCAGCGAACGUAUCACUUAAAGCGAUUCAGCGGGUUACGAUUAACGGAGCGAAGCGACGUCAAAGCGUAUACAAAGUCGAGUCGGUUUAAGGAUACGUUCGUUGGGUAGGGGAGCGUUCUGUAAGCCUGUGAAGGUGGCCUGUGAGGG
rnacentral:rRNA from 1 species